rnacentral:rRNA from 1 species
AUGGAGCUCAACCUUGCCUCGUAUGUGUCCAUUUUUCUCUUCGUCCUCUCCGGCACGUACGUCUACUACAGGACACGGAGCCGGUUGCCGCUGCGGCUCCCGCCCUCGCCGCCCGGGUGGCCUGUGAUCGGCCACCUCCACCUGAUGACGGACAUGCCCCACCACGCACUCGCAGAGCUGGCCAGGAGCAUGCGCGCUCCGCUCCUCCGGCUUCAGCUCGGGAGCAUCCCGGCCGUGGUGAUCUCCAAGCCCGACCUGGCCCGCGAGGCGCUCACCACCAACGACGCGGCAAUGGCGUCCCGGCCACACCUCCUCUCCGGGCAGUUCCUCUCAUUCGGCUGCUCCGACGUCACGUUCGCGCCGGCGGGGGCCUACCACCGCAUGGUGCGGAGGGUGGUCGUCUCCGACCUCGUCUCGCCGCGCCGCGUGGCCACCUACGGAGGCUUCCGGGACGAGGAGCUCCGCCGCCUCCUCGCGCACCUCACGGAGAGCGCCUCGACGGAGGAGACCCCCGUCAACCUCAGCAAGUGCCUCCUCAACCUGGCCAACGAUGUGCUCUGCCGCAUCGCCUUUGGCCGCCGGUUUCCGCACGGCAAGGACGACAAGCUCGCCGCGGUGCUCGCCGAGUCGCAAGACCUCUAUGCCGGAUUUGCCAUAGGCGACUUCUUCCCGGAGUUGGAGCCUCUCGCAAGCACCCUGACGGGACUCCGCCGCCGGCUGAAGAGCUGCCUGGCCGACCUCCGCGAGGUCUGUGACGAAAUCAUCGAGGAGCACAUCAGCGGCGAGCGCCAGUGCAUCCCCGGCGACCGAGAUGAGGACUUCGUCGACGUCCUCCUCCGCGCCCAGAAGGCGCCCGACCUACAAGUCCCACUCACCGACGACAACCUCAAAUCCAUCGUCUUGGACAUAUUCAUCGCCGGCACAGACACGACGUUUGCGACCAUAGAGUGGACGAUGACAGAGUCCUAA